AACUAUAUAUUAUAAGUUUUCCUUGUAACUUCUCUGUUUUUUUUCAUCUAUUUUAGUUGUUGACUAUUAGUCCACCUUGUUGAAGCAGUAGAGAAUAUUUUGUUGCUUCAAUAUAAUAUAAAGUUAUUAGUAACUAAAAGAUCAUAAUCCUAGAAGAAGAAGAAAUACAAAGGGGAAAAUGACAACUACUACAAAGAAGAAAACAAUUCCUGGC